rnacentral:rRNA from 1 species
GUUAAAAAGCUCGUAGUUGGAUUUGUGGCGCGGCCGUCCGGCGGGGCUCCUUCACUGGGGCCGUUUGUCUGGUUUUCGGCCGCUCCAUUCUCGGGUAGCGUGUCGCUGGCAUUAGGUUGUCGGCUUCUUCGCGCCCGUCGUUUACUGUGAAAAAAUUAGAGUGUUCAAAGCAGGCUUAGGCCGUUGGA